rnacentral:lncRNA from 1 species
UUGGACUAGCAAGAGUGAUCAAAAGGUAAAAGAAAGUCCAAGUAUUUUAAGGUAUCCAUGAGUUCAUAGCACAAUGCACAGCAUGAUAAUUAUAAGUCAAAAUUCAAGUUCAAAUUGAUAGGGAAUGGCAUCAGAUCAAAGCGAGUUUCGACUAAGAACAAGAAAAUCAAGCGUUGAAUUCAAAAGAUGGUGCGGUCUUACUUCAAGUUCAAUCGAUUACGCAUUAGAGAACUAACAACCUGGGCACUGAGUUCUACUUAGUGAAUAAGCAUAUUUACAAGGUUAUAAUCAUCAUAAUCUCCAAUGCAAAUGCAUGAUGCAACAGUCCUAAGUGAAAGCAUACUAAAACAAUCCUAAAAUGACAAUGCAAGCUAUAUGAACACUCUGUUUUUGUGAAAUCAUU